rnacentral:lncRNA from 1 species
AUGGAGUCGAACCCGAGUUGCGCUUCUCCCCAAGGGGAGGAGCUGGAGGACGGAGAAAUCUUCGACGAUGAGCCGCAGCAGCAGAACGCGAGACCCCCGCGGCGGCCCCGGCCCUGCCGCCCCUACCGGAGAGCGCGUCUGCCGGGGCCGGUGAUAGGCAGCGCCGCGGGGCCGCCGAGGCCUCCGCACCCGCACCCGGCCUUCCCCUGCGAGCUCCGGCAGGCCUUCGAGUCCGCGCCGCGCUCCGGCUUCUGGGAGCGCAGUCACGCAGCGCUCACGGGCCGCUUCAGGUACCGCGCUCAGCGGCCGCAGGACUGGCCGCCCCGGGACUGGCAGCAGCGCUUCCCGGAGAACCACCGGACAGACUCCCCCGGCAGGAAACCGCAGAAGAGUGUGCGCGCGGCAGCCCGCAGGAACCCUCCGCUCGGCAAAAGCGAGCCGGUGGACGAGAGCUUCGAGGACCUGCUGCUGAAGUACAAGCAGAUCCAGCUGGAGCUGGAGUGCAUCCGCAAGGAGGAGCGCGCCGCCCUGGAGGACGAGGAGCCGCCGGUGCACAGGUCAGACGGAGGAGCGGCGCCGCAGGAGUCCGUGGAGGAGCAGCAGCAGCAGAAGAAGAGCUUUCAGGCCUUCAACAUCCGCCCGCUGCGGCAGAAGCUGCUGACACCUGCAGAGAGAGACGCACUCAACUGCAGAGCCACGCAGGAGAACACACACACGCAGGAGAACACGCGCACGCAGGAGAACACACACACGCAGGAGAACACGCGCACGCAGGAGAACACGCAAGAGGACACGCAGCAGAUGACACUGGACAGCACUGCAGAUGACGCUGUGAAGGACGAGGACUCUGAAUCAGACCUCAACAUCUCCACUGUGAGCGACGAGACUCCAGUCGUCAUCCGCAAGAAGGAGGAUGAGGACGAAGUGUCGGAGCUGCAGCUGCGUCUCCUCGCUCUACAGUCCGCCAGCAGGAAGUGGCAGCAGAAGGAGAAGCAGGUGCUGAAGGAGAGCAAGGAGAAGAUGGAGAGCAAGGAGAAGAAGACGGAGAAGACCAGCUCAGCGUCUGCAGAGAAGACCAGCCCGAGAGCAGCAGAGAGAUCCAGAGCGGCCAGAACACCUGCAGACAAGAGCAGACCAUCCAACAGAGCCAAGAAACCCGCACACCUGACCAAGCAGGCUCUGAGGAAGCAGCAGUUGCGCACCUGGAAGCUGCAGCAGGAGGCGCGGCGGCAGCAGCAGGAGCAGGAGGAGGAGCGGCGGCGGCGGGAGGACGAGAUCCGCAGGAUCCGGGAUCUGUCCAAUCAGGACGAGCAGUACAACCGCUUCAUGAGGCUGGUGGGCUCCAGACGGCCCUCCCGCAGCAAGUCUGCAGACUCAGGCAAGCUGAAGCAGAGUCUGGACACGUCCGGCUGUCUCUACCAGUACGACAACUAUGAUGAGGUCGCCAUGGAUACUGACAGUGAAACCAACUCACCAGCUGCGUCCCCUACCCAUGAUGCACUGCCCAGGUUCCCGCUGGAGUCCACGCCUCACCGACAGGUAAACACUCGCCGCUGUGUGUGUGUGUGUGUGUGUGUUAUAUUGCCAGAUUGGUCAGCACUGUGGCCUCACAGCAGGAAGGUCUCUGGUUUGAGUCUCGGCUGGGUUAGUUGGUGUUUCUGUGUGGAGUUUGCAUGUUCUCCCCGUGUUGGUGUGGGUUUCCUCCGGGUGCUCUGGUUUCCCCCACAGUCCAAACACAUGCGCUAUAGGGGAACUGAUCNNNNNNNNNNNNNNNNNNNNNNNNNNNNNNNNNNNNNNNNNNNNNNNNNNNNNNNNNNNNNNNNNNNNNNNNNNNNNNNNNNNNNNNNNNNNNNNNNNNNGUGACUUUUUCAAAAGUAGUAAUAUUUGCAGUCAUAAACAUGUUCAGACAAUUAAUAUGACGCUGAUUUGAUGCUUCAUAAUAGUUGCAGACGCCUUUACCAAUAUCAAAAUGCUUUAGUUAACAACCAGUUAUUCUGUACACCCUUUAAGAAACCGGCUACUAUAACACUACUAAAACGCUACUAUAACACUGCUAUAACACUGCUAUAACACUAGUAUAAUAGGAGAGUCUGCUGUAACUGUAAAACUGCUCUCGACACAUGAAAGGGCAAAUCAUGCAGCACACAAGGUGUGCAGUUAUUGCGUCUCAUAUUCAACAAACAGUUACUCUGAAUUUUCUGUAAUUUUGCUCACAUGAAUAAUUGAAUAUUAAUCAGAUGAUGUCAUCGCGCUGCUGUGCCGUCAGCCAAUCACUGCACUGCUGAUCAUGAUUGAGGAUGGGUAGAUCUGUCCUUCACAGCACACACAGAUCUCAGAUCAGUUCAUCCAGACACUUUAAUCUGAGUCACCAACUUGUUUGAAGAACCGAAUUAGCCAGAGAUCAGUUAUCGAGAUGAACAGAUCCAGGAUCUGCCAAAUCAUCUUAGAUCAAUUAAGCGAGGAAUGCAGAACUGACCCCAGAUCUGAUCUAACACCAGCCAAUGGAAAUCAUCAGUAAACAGAGUGCCACAUUUCUAGAGGACACUGGUCAUGUCUGGCAGAAAUACAGUAAUACUGUGCUGCAGUGCUCACUGUAUCACACACACACACACACACACACACACACACACACACUAUGCGAGUGUCACGAUCAUGAUCAGCAGUGCAGUGAUUGGCUGACGGCACAGCAGCAUGAUGACAUCAUCUGAUCAAUAUUCAAUUAUCCAUGCCAGCAAAAAUACAUAAAUGAGCAGUGAACGCUUUAAAUAUGACCCGCAGUAACUCUCCACAUGUGUGGUGAGCUGCACUUACGAGAGUGUUCAUCAUAUGUUUCAGUGCACAUCAGUGUGUUCAGUUCCACAUCCAGAGCAGAUUUGCUUUAUUACAGUAGACCAGGCCGACACUAUUUUAAUCGCAGUAAGGAAUAACUAUAAACUAAUCUUGCAUCAAAAAAGCGGUUUGCCAUUGGUAAAGGCGUCAGUCGCCGGCAUAUUAGUGAUCAAAACACGCAUGACUGCAUACAAUAUACUGCGGUUUAGUUUUUUGUUUUUAAGUGGAAUAUUGUGUGUGUGUGUGUGUGUGUGUGUACGCAUUUGCAUCUAAAAAGUUCAUAUAAUAACUAUUCUCUGUGAACCAGCAGGUGGCAGACUUUUACUUUAUGCCUCUUUCCACUGACUGCUACAGUACGGUGCGGUUCGGGUCGGUACGGGUCACCUUUAUCAGGCUUGUGUUUCCCACUAGCAAGGGCACCGUUUUGGUGGGCCGUGGUGUAAGACUAAGUUUUAGUCGACGUCAUGCUCACUCGAGAAAAUUGUCUACAGUAAAGC